rnacentral:rRNA from 1 species
UGGGGAAUUUUGGACAAUGGGCGCAAGCCUGAUCCAGCCAUGCCGCGUGCGGGAAGAAGGCCUUCGGGUUGUAAACCGCUUUUGGCAGGAACGCGGUACCUGCAGAAUAAGCACCGGCUAACUACGUGCCAGCAGCCGCGGUAAUACGUAGGGUGCAAGCGUUAAUCGGAAUUACUGGGCGUAAAGCGUACGCAGGCGGCUAUGCAAGACAGGUGUGAAAAUCCGGGCUUAAACCUGGGAACUGCAUUUGUGACUGCAUGGCUAGAGUUUGUCAGAGGGGGUGGAAUUCCACGUGUAGCAGUGAAAUGCGUAGAGAUGUGGAGGAACACCGAUGGCGAAGGCAGUCCCCUGGGCCAGUACUGACGCUCAUGCACGAAAGCGUGGGGAGCAAAAC